CGCUCCCUUUCCCUCAGGGCCGGUUUCGCCGCGCUUGUCUUGCCCUUAGCAGCCCUCGAGCCACUGGAGGACCCUGCCAGCAGCACAGACCCUGCUGCCAGAGCCCCCUGGCGGCAUAGCAGCGCGUAUCCUCCACAGCCGCCAGCCUCAGAAGCAGGGCUGAGGCACAGUUGUCCUUUCAGCCCGUUGCCAGCCUCGGGAACCGCCCCACGGACUAAGAUCAGUUUGCAUUAAGGACUUACUGUACCAGAUAACUGGCUGGAAUAAAGGCACACCAGACUGGAUACCCAAGAAGAUGUUAGAGUACUCCCUGAUCUAAAUUGAAUGUAACUGCACCUACCAUGGGAAUUGGUGAAGGCUGAAAGAAACAUUUUCCCUUGAAAAUAUUCCAGAAGAAGAAUUGCCAAUUCAGUAUUUUACUGAGUCUGGAUUAUACAGUGUCACACUGAAGCUGUGAAGUCCAGGGUGGGCCUGAGAAUUUAAAUAAAUUGAAGAGGCCUCAUACCUAAGUUUGUAAAGACAUUAUGACAGUAUUCUUGAGCCAGAGCAGAUAGCUGAUUCCUUUCUUCAUGGACCAUUUUCUGCAACUCCAAAAUAUGGUGCUGAAGUAGAAAGAAGUUUCCAAUUGGAGAUGCUGCUGGAUUCUCAAUGACACCUUGAAGUACAGUUAGCACCAGGGGCCCAAAGCAUCAUUUUACAACUGCAUCUGUUUAGACAGAGAUGCACCAACGCCUGGAGUGGAACACCC